GAGGAAGUUGUAGACCAUUUACUCAGUGUCUUUAUUCCUUCAUCUUGGAAAUUCCCAGACUCUAGGCAGAUUAGGGGAGUCCUCUUGUGUCCUAAUACUCAUUUGUUACAAGCCCUUUUUUUUGUUACUCUAAAUGCACUAACUUUAGAGAAUGGUAUUUGAAGAGAAAAGUAAAUUUGUCUGAAUCCAAGUUGAAGAUAACUGCUUCGCUCUUGUCUCCAAUAAUUUAGGGAAAGGGCUAAGAAACUGAAGAAAAUGUAGAGGGAAAAAAAAAGAAAAAGAGGUGGAAGGAUAGCUGCUUCUGCAUACCAGGGAGCUGCAGUGGUUAUGAAUCGUGUCUGAAGGCAAAAGCUACAGUCACUCAAGAUAAGCACCUCUUGAGCCUGUAAAUGUGAUCUACUGGAGCUGACCUGAAAUAUUAUCUGCUAUUGAGAUGUGUGUUUGUACAGUCCAGAGUCACUACAUCACUAACAGAGGAAAUUCAUCGAUUUACGCUUUCAAUUUGACCGUGUGUACUGAAGCAGAUGAAGAAUUUCUUCAGGAAUAACUUCUGUUACCAUCACCGAAUAUUUCUGAGAGGAUGAAGUUGGAGGAAAUUUCUGUUCUUUGUUUCUGUACACACAUUCUCUUUAGCACUUCUUCCCCAUCAGAGGGAAGCGAUAAAGUCCUGUUCCCAACAGCUCAGCUGGGAGAGCAGGGCAUGAGGCGUCGGAGGAGAGGAGCGGCUGGAGGACAUGGGCUACACUUACCUUGUCUGGUACAGCACUCCUUGGGGAUUUUGAUAAACUGCAGCAGACCAUAGACAAAGCCAAGGUUGGGUCAAAGAACCAGCGAGAUAUAAAUGGCCUUGCUCUCUGUUGCGCUCCUGCAGACAGCAUUUAGCCUUGAGGCUUUCCAUUCACAGAAUGGAAACUUAAGGUACUUUGGUAAUACAGUGGGUCACAUUUUUGCCUAAUCCGUAGCAGUUGUAUGCUCUGUAGCAGGUUUCCAGCUGAAAGAGAAAAGGGUGGUUGUCCUUUCUAUUCUGCCUCUUAGUGUAGAGCAUUUUAAUAUUAUGGCAUUCUUCUGAGAGUUAACUUGAGCACUUGCAGCAUGUUUUAAAAGUGCCUCACUUCAUACAGCAUGUCUCCUAAGGACUGUUUUUCUUGGGUCAGUGUGAUUCCAGUAAGGGUUCAUUGAUAAAACUUAAGAAGAUUUAAAACGAAGCUUCUCCAAAAGAGCCCAUUGUUUCUGAUUAACAUGAAUUGAUUUGAUGGAAGUGUUUCUCCAGCUCACUGGCAGGUCACUUGUGUAGUAAAUUAAAGACUGGGCCUGUAGGCCCAACAAUAAUUGAAUUUAUUUACUGGCUUGUGUUUCUGUUUAUGAGGGUGAGCAAUGGUUUCCAUUACAAUGUGUUUGUGUAGCAAUAUAGCACACCUGCUUUUCAGAAGACAGUAUCAUAAAGUACUCACUUGGAUUGUCUUGUCUCAUGUUGCAGAGGUCACUGUAUCUUGUGCUCUAUAAAAACAAACAAAAGUGCAAGAGCACAUAAUAACUCUCCUUUAAAGAAACAAUUAAAACUAGUAGUCAUAAAGACAUACCGUUGAAUAAGAUAGCACUUGAAUUUUUGUGGAAAUGCUGAACAAUUUUAAAUGGUUGAUAUAUCCGAAACUAUAUAUGUAUAUUGAUAUAAUAAAUACAUUUCACUACUUAAA